rnacentral:rRNA from 1 species
UAAUGGGUGAUGGCGUGCCUUUUGUAGAAUGAACCGGCGAGUUACGAUUUGAUGCAAGGUUAAGCAGUAAAUGUGGAGCCGUAGCGAAAGCGAGUCUGAAUAGGGCGUUUAGUAUUUGGUCGUAGACCCGAAACCAGGUGAUCUACCCUUGGUCAGGUUGAAGUUCAGGUAACACUGAAUGGAGGACCGAACCGACUUACGUUGAAAAGUGAGCGGAUGAACUGAGGGUAGCGGAGAAAUUCCAAUCGAACCUGGAGAUAGCUGGUUCUCUCCGAAAUAGCUUUAGGGCUAGCCUCAAGUGAUGAUUAUUGGAGGUAGAGCACUGUUUGGACGAGGGGCCCCUCUCGGGUUACCGAAUUCAGACAAACUCCGAAUGCCAAUUAAUUUAACUUGGGAGUCAGAACAUGGGUGAUAAGGUCCGUGUUCGAAAGGGAAACAGCCCAGACCACCAGCUAAGGUCCCAAAAUAUAUGUUAAGUGGAAAAGGAUGUGGCGUUGCCCAGACAACUAGGAUGUUGGCUUAGAAGCAGCCAUCAUUUAAAGAGUGCGUAAUAGCUCACUAGUCGAGUGACACUGCGCCGAAAAUGUACCGGGGCUAAACAUAUUACCGAAGCUGUGGAUUGUCCUUUGGACAAUGGUAGGAGAGCGUUCUAAGGGCGUUGAAGCAUGAUCGUAAGGACAUGUGGAGCGCUUAGAAGUGAGAAUGCCGGUGUGAGUAGCGAAAGACGGGUGAGAAUCCCGUCCACCGAUUGACUAAGGUUUCCAGAGGAAGGCUCGUCCGCUCUGGGUUAGUCGGGUCCUAAG